rnacentral:rRNA from 1 species
GAUGAACGCUAGCUACAGGCUUAACACAUGCAAGUCGAGGGGAAACGACAUCGAGAGCUUGCUUUUGAUGGGCGUCGACCGGCGCACGGGUGAGUAACGCGUAUCCAACCUGCCCACCACUUGGGGAUAACCUUGCGAAAGUAAGACUAAUACACAAUGACGUCUCUAGAAGACAUCUGAAAGAGAUUAAAGAUUUAUCGGUGAUGGAUGGGGAUGCGUGUGAUUAGCUUGUUGGCGGGGUAACGGCCAACCAGGGCUACGUUCAGUAGGGGUUCUGAGAGGAAGGUCCCCCACAUUGGAACUGAGACACGGUCCAAACUCCUACGGGAGGCAGCAGUGAGGAAUAUUGGUCAAUGGGCGAGAGCCUGAACCAGCCAAGUAGCGUGCAGGAUGACGGCCCUAUGGGUUGUAAACUGCUUUUAUAAGGGAAUAAAGUGAGUCUCGUGAGACUUUUUGCAUGUACCUUAUGAAUAAGGACCGGCUAAUUCCGUGCCAGCAGCCGCCGUAA